rnacentral:sRNA from 1 species
AUGGUGUGGCCAGCUCUGUGGGAACUAUACAGGGAGCUGGGCCUAUUUCAGGGCCCAGCACUGGGGCUGAGGAACCAUUUGGGAAGAAAACUAAGAAGGAGAAAAAAGAAAAAGGCAAAGAGAACAACAAACUGGAAGCAGCAGCCCCUUGCUGAUCCAUACCAACCCCAGAAUAUCUCCAGUCCCUGCAAAACCAGAUCAUCACCGACCGACCUGGCUUUCAUGAUGAGAGUGCCAUCUACCCCGUGGGCUACUGCAGUACUCGAAUAUAUGCCAGCAUGAAGUGCCCAGACCAGAAGUGUCUAUAUACCUGUCAGAUCAAGGAUGGUGGUGUGCAGCCUCAGUUUGAAAUUGUUCCUGAAGAUGACCCCCAGAAUGCCAUUGUCAGCUCUUCUGCAGAUGCUUGUCAUGCAGAACUGCUCAGGACUAUAAGCGCUACUAUGGGGAAACUAAUGCCUAACCUGCUUCCAGCUGGAGCUGACUUUUUUGGAUUUUCUCAUCCAGCCAUCCACAACCUGAUCCAGAGCUGUCCAGGAGCUCGAAAAUGCAUCAAUUACCAGUGGGUGAAAUUUGAUGUGUGCAAACCUGGAGAUGGGCAGCUACCUGAGGGGCUGCCAGAGAAUGAUGCAGCUAUGAGCUUUGAAGCCUUUCAGAGACAGAUCUUUGAUGAAGAUCAGAAUGAUCCCCUUCUGCCAGGAUCCUUGGACCUCCCAGAGCUUCAGCCUGCAGCCUUUGUGUCUUCUUACCAGCCCAUGUACCUGACACAUGAACCCUUGGUAGAUACUCACCUACAGCACUUGAAGUCUCCAUCACAGGGUAGCCCAGUCCAGUCUUCAGAUUGA